CUUUUUGUCUUGUUAGGGCCACACCUGCAGCACACAGAAGUUCCCAGACUAGGGGCUGAUUUGGAGCUGCAGCUGCCAGCCUAUGCCACAGCCAUAGCAACCAAAUCCAAGCCACAUCUGUGACCUACACCACAGCUCGUGGCAACACCAGAACCUUAACUGACCAAGGCCAGGGAUCAAACCCACGUCCUCAUGGAUAUUUGUUGGGUUCAUUACCACUGAGCCACAACGGAAACUUCUGUUGUUCUAAUUUCAGGGAGAGGGGUUGUGUAUGUGUGUGGAUGUGGAUGUAAUGAUUAUAUAACACAUAACUUGUAAAGAUUUGUUACAGGAGAGCAUUUUUUAAAUGAAAGGAAAAAGCUUUUUACUAAAUGCAAGUUACUACUAAGAUUUUGUUGUUUUUCCUAUGAGUCCUUUUUCUAGGUAUAUUUUUUUAACAUUUUGAAAUAAUUUUAGACUUACAGAAAAGUUGAAAAAAUAGUACUGAGAAUUGCUUAUACUCUUCACCCAGUUUCUCCAACUGAUAAUAUCUUCUAUUACCAUUAUAUACUUAUCAGUAUCCUCUAGGUAUAUUUUGACAAGGUAAAAAUCACACUUUUUGUUCACUGCUUCUUACACUUAGUAUGAUACUUAAGCAUUUCUACUAUUUAAAAUUUUUCAAAAGCAACAUUUUAAUGUCCAGGUAAUGCCAUAUUACAUCAAUGCAUAUUUUCUUUCCACACUGUUGGAUAAUUAGAUUGCUUGUAAUUAUUUUCCUAUUAUUAAAAAUAUUCAUCAAAAUAGGUUAUAGUUUUUAAAAACAUCCAAUUUUAUAAGUCAAAAAAUGGUCUAUUGUAAAUUAUUUUUUAAAUUAUUAUUUAAGGUGAACACUUUAAAUGCUUACUAGUCAUUUUUAUUUUAUCUUUUGUAAAUUAUUUAUCAGGUUGUUUGCCCAUGUACUUAUGGAUGUCUGAAUGUAUUACUUACAAAUUUGUGUAAAGUUUACAUAUGAAAAAUAUUAAGUUUUUGACCUGAAAACUGCAAAAUUUUUUAUUGUUUGAUGAUUGUACUUUGUUUUCUUUUCAUUUUGAAAUCCAAAACACCUUUGCCAAUUGAAAACAAAAUAUCUCUUUUACAGUAUUAAUUUGUAGUUAAAAGGCAUUUUCAUUCUCAAACUGAGAUCCACCAGCCACUAAGCAUCUGAAAAUGUGACUGUUGGGAAUUAUGGGAAUUUCUUUUCUUAAAAAAGAGUCCAUAUACAAAUUUGACAAAAGCCACAGAAAGUACAAAGAUCAAAUAAGAGAAAUCCCAAGUUAUAAAAAGAUGCUGUGUUAUACAAACUAAGAACAGUUUAUGAAAGGAUCAAUUUGUAUUGUAUGUUCCGUAGUAUUAUUUUGUACUAUUUUAGUGUCUUAUCAAUAUUUAUAACUAUAAUUUUUUUUUUUUUUUUGUCUUUUUUGUUGUUGUUGUUGCUAUUUCUUGGGCCGCUCCCGCGGCAUAUGGAGGUUCCCAGGCUAGGGGUUGAAUCGGAGCUGUAGCCACCGGCCUACGCCAGAGCCACAGCAACGCGGGAUCCGAGCCACGUCUGCAACCUACACCACAGCUCACGGCAACGCCGGAUCGUUAACCCACUGAGCAAGGGCAGGGAUCGAACCCGCAACCUCAUGGUUCCUAGUCGGAUUCAUUAACCACUGCGCCACGACGGGAACUCCUAAAAAUAAUCUUAUACAUUCUGAGGAAUAAGUUACAAUCUCUGUGAUCUUGGGCAAGUCAUUUAACGUUUCUCCAUGUCUAUCUCUCAUUAGUCAGCAACUAUGCCUCACAAGCCCAUCCUAUAAUGUCUCUUGGUGUUCCUUCCAUCUCUAAAAUCUGUAAACUGUAUUCACUACUGAAUUCUCAGCAUUUAGCCCAAAGUAUGUGUUACUGACAUUUAUGUUGAAUGAUUGGAUGGAUGUAUUUUAAGACUAUAUAUUUUUCUCACAACCCACAUAAGCAAGCCCAAUUUUUACAAUAAAGAAAAUGGAAAUCAGACCCUAACUUGCUAUCCAUUAAAGUUCUUAUUUAGAGAAACGUUAUUGAAAAAAUUCACUGAUGAUAAAGAACAGAUUCUCAAGUAGGCUUCUAAAUGCCAACCUCAACACUGUUAUAAUGAGCAAGUGAGUAGGUGGAUUGAUGGACCAAUUGAUAAAAUACCUAUUCACACAAAAAUAUACCCUGCUAAUUUUUUUCAUGGCCACACCCAUGGCAUAUGGAAGUUCCUGGGCCAGGGACUGAACCUGCACCUCCACAGGGACCUGAGCCACUGAAGUCAGAUUCUUAAUCCACUGUGCCACAGUUUCAACUCCCUGCAAAAUUUUUUAAGUGCAUAAAUUACCAAGCCUUUUUUUUUUUAAUUUGGGCUUUUUUCCCACCCUUUUCGCCUUUGUUAAUAAAUAAUUUCCAAAAUAUGGGGGAUUUCUAAAAAUUCAAUUUCAAUCUAUUACUGAUGACAUGAAUCAGAAGCCAGAAUGACCAUUUAAAAACUAAUAUACAAAGUCAACAAUAAAUAAUUUGAGCAUGCAGAAAGUUAGUCUUUUCUAAUAAACCUCAUGUUUCCAGAAAAAUGUGUUAGUUGUAAUAUAUAUAUUUGGUCUUUUUAGGGCCACACCCACAGCAUUUGGAGGUUCCCAGUCCAGGGGUCGAAUUGAAGCUGUAGCUGCCGGCCUAUGCCACAGUCACAGCAACACCAGAUCCAAGCUGCGUCUGUGACCUACCACAGUUCAUGGCAAUGCUGGAUCCCCAAUACACCGAGCAAGGCCAAGGAUCGAACCCACAUCUUCAUGGAUACUAGUCAGGUUCAUUAACCACUAAGCCAUGAUGGAACUCCUAAACCUAUAUUUCUAUUUUUUCUCUUCUUUUAUCCAUAAUCACUGUAGACUAAGUGAAAUUAUUUACAUUUUCUAGACAUCGGUUGCCCUCAAUUCAAUUUAGUUCAGUUUAAUAAAUAUUAUUGACUACCUGCUAGGAGUCAGCCACUACACCAUGUUCUUAGGAGUCAAAGAUUAAUGACAUACUUUCUAACUUUCAUGAAGUCCAUAGCUCAAUUAGUAUAUUGUUUUU
rnacentral:lncRNA from 1 species